UCGGGAAUAUUGCGCAAUGGAGGAAACUCUGACGCAGUGACGCCGCGUGCAGGAAGAAGGUUUUCGGAUUGUAAACUGCUUUAGACAGGGAAGAAAAAAGACAGUACCUGUAGAAUAAGCUCCGGCUAACUACGUGCCAGCAGCCGCGGUAAUACGUAGGGAGCAAGCGUUAUCCGGAUUUAUUGGGUGUAAAGGGUGCGUAGACGGGAAAUUAAGUUAGUUGUGAAAUCCCUCGGCUCAACUGAGGAACUGCAACUAAAACUGGUUUUCUUGAGUGCUGGAGAGGAAAGUGGAAUUCCUAGUGUAGCGGUGAAAUGCGUAGAUAUUAGGAGGAACACCAGUGGCGAAGGCGACUUUCUGGACAGUAACUGACGUUGAGGCACGAAAGUGUGGGGAGCAAACA
rnacentral:rRNA from 1 species